GACGAACGCUGGCGGCGUGCUUAACACAUGCAAGUCGAACGAUGAAGCCGGAGCUUGCUCUGGUGAAUUAGUGGCGAACGGGUGAGUAACACGCUAGUAACCUGCCCUUGACUCUGGGAUAACUGCGGGAACCUGUAGCUAAUAUCGGAUACGACCCUCGGAGGCAUCUCCUGGGGGUGGAAAGAAUUUCGGUCAAGGAUGGACUCGCGGCCUAUCAGCUAGGUGGUGGGGAAAAGGCUCACCAAGGCGACGACGGGUAGCCGGCCUGAGAGGGUGACCGGCCACACUGGGGCUGAGACACGGCCCAGACUCCUACGGGAGGCAGCAGUGGGGAAUAUUGCACAAUGGGCGCAAGCCUGAUGCAGCAACGCCGCGUGAGGGAUGACGGCCUUCGGGUUGUAAACCUCUUUUAGCAGGGAAGAAGCGAAAGUGACGGUACCUGCAGAAAAAGCACCGGCUAACUACGUGCCAGCCGCCGCAGUAA
rnacentral:rRNA from 1 species